UACGAAGGGUGCAAGCGUUACUCGGAAUUACUGGGCGUAAAGCGUGCGUAGGUGGUUCGUUAAGUCUGAUGUGAAAGCCCUGGGCUCAACCUGGGAAUGGCAUUGGAAACUGGCGACCUAGAGUGCGGUAGAGGGUAGUGGAAUUCCCGGUGUAGCAGUGAAAUGCGUAGAGAUCGGGAGGAACAUCUGUGGCGAAGGCGACUGCCUGGACCAGCACUGACACUGAGGCACGAAAGCGUGGGGAGCGAACAGG
rnacentral:rRNA from 1 species